UUCCAGUCUCCCCUACCGCACUCAAGCCCGCCCGUACCCGGCGCGGAUCCACCGUUAAGCGAUGGACUUUCACACCGGACGCGACGAACCGCCUACGAGCCCUUUACGCCCAAUAAUUCCGGAUAACGCUUGCACCCUACGUAUUACCGCGGCUGCUGGCACGUAGUUAGCCGGUGCUUAUUCGAAAGGUACACUCACCCCGAAGGGCUUGCUCCCAGUCAAAAGCGGUUUACAACCCGAAGGCCGUCAUCCCGCACGCGGCGUCGCUGCAUCAGGCUUGCGCCCAUUGUGCAAUAUUCCCCACUGCUGCCUCCCGUAGGAGUCUGGGCCGUAUCUCAGUCCCAAUGUGGCCGGUCGCCCUCUCAGGCCGGCUACCCGUCGAAGCCAUGGUGGGCCGUUACCCCGCCAUCAAGCUGAUAGGACGCGACCCCAUCCCAUACCGAUGAAUCUUUCCCAGAAGGACAUGCAUCCAACUGGAG
rnacentral:rRNA from 1 species